GUCUUUGUGGUGUGGUGGUCAGCACGCUCGGCCCGUAUUCGGGAGGUCCGAGGUUCGAGUCCCAGCGAGGGCA
rfam:Stegodyphus mimosarum contig17891, whole genome shotgun sequence.